rnacentral:tRNA from 1 species
UCAGAAAGAAAGGAAUCAAACCCUUAUCGCCAACUCCCAAAGCUGGAAUUUUUAUUAAACUACUUUCUG